ensembl:lncRNA
CCCGCCCCGGGCCCGGCCGCGAGGUCGUCGGCGUGCGCUCCGUAGCGGCGUGUUGAUAACGGGCGGCCGUAUGCGGCCUCUCCUCUGGCCUGCUUACAUGGCGAGCGCUGAGCUGCGGUAGCUCACGGCCACGUGUUUGAAAUCGUUUGCCUUCGGGUGCUGUGAGUUGGGAGCUCAGUAGGCACUUAGCAACGGGACCAGGGCUGCGUGCAGGUGGAGCCUGUGGUGAAAGUAGCGGCUUCGGCUCUCUAGCUUCACCUGCUUGAGAUGUGAUGCCGAGCAGCUGGGAUGCUGUGCACUGUGCAAGUUCGUUGUUAGCUGACAGUCUGGAAAUCAAACGCCGUCUUACUGAUCUGAGGCACCAAAAGGACCAGCUUCUGGGCACUGAGAGUUGUGUAUCUGUUACGUGUUGGAAUGGUGUGACUGUAAGAUUAAGUCCCUGUCUGCUACUGGCUGGUCUUCAACAUCUUCAGAGAUGAUUCCAGGGGAUCGCUGGCUAUCUGCAUGUUUCCUUGUCAUCUCAAACAAGGGAUAAUGCUCUCCUGGGAACAGUUUCACCUCGAAGAGACAGGCAGCUCCUCAAAACAAUAUGGUUAAUCUUCAAGAAUUUGUCUGCCAGCUGUCUUCCAGGAAGCAGAAUCAAGGAAUGGCCUGGUUAUCAAGGGUGGCUGGCUGGAGACCUCCUCUGCCUUCUCCUCUACCAUUGUCACUCUUGCUAUGAUUUACUUAAGGUAUGUUCUGAACCAGUGGAACAAAUGUUCUGUGCUCUCAAAGGCAAAAACUGCCUUGGAAACCAAAGUCAAACCCAAAGAAGGGAAGUGAUGGCCACUCAUUUUGUUACAAACCUCCACCUCAUUUCUGGAGUCCUGUCUGAGAUUUUCAAAUAUAUGGACUUUACAGGACAAAACAGAGGGGAAUGGCAGAGAGGAACAGCUGAGAACAAGGAUGGCGUUAUCAGACAAGUGAGAACACCCACAGAAGCCAGGUUGCAAAAUAAUUCUUCAAAACUCCUGCAAGGUGUCAAUUGACUAAAGCCAUUUGCUCAGUUCUGCAGUAGGAGAAGUCAACAGAAAAUCCACCUUACCACUGUUUAUGUUUCAGCCAUUUCAGCUUCAAAAUAUAUACUUUUUUUAAAUGCUUUAACAAGCAUUACAGAAGAGCUUACAGUUAUUCAGGAGCUGGAAUUAAGUGCAAUGUAUUAACACUACAAUAUUGUCUCCUGCUGGUCACUGGCAGUAGCAGUCAAUUUUUUGGCAUGUCAGCUAACACCAAAUCCCACCCCAUUCCUCUACAUUUCAGGAAUACACUUGGAGUGUAUUUUCUUGAACUCACAGUGAAAAUAAAACAUUCCCCAAAGAAUACCUUCUUCAUUUCUACGUAGUAUGCACUAAUGAUGUAGCAAUAGAGAGGAGAUAAAUUUUAAUGUUAUUGUUCGUUGGUUAAUUUGGCCAUUCUCUUUUGCUUUCAUCUUGAGAUGGAGAACAGGAAAUAAAUAAUAUUUAUUUUGGCCCACUCUUCUUCAAAUAUAGUGUAUGGUGGCUCUGACAAUCGCCUCCUUGUUUGCUGCCGUCUACCGGAAGACACUUACACAUAUCCAGACCUGUGUGAUCUGGAACUAAGAUCUCUUGAUUUGUUCUUCUGACUCAAACCAUCCCAGAUACGAAGCUUUAUAUACUCUAGCACCAGGACUGGCAUUCUUCAUUGCUGCGAGAUCUACGCCUUGGACUCAGAAUCACUGGCCAUAUUUUAUCUGUGUUGACUCACUUCCUAUCCAGCCCUUGGGGCAGCUCACAGCAACGCAGUCUCAGCUUUAAGGAAUGAGCACAAUAACCCCAUAUUUCUAAGAAGCGAAACGUCUGUGUUCUGGGAUCAGUGAAAGGAUCAACAGUGAUGAAAACAGUGUUUCCUUCCCCUUAUGCUGUGUGAGGGUAAUACUAAAGGAAUCUGUAGAAGUAGAUGUAAUGCUGCACCAGCCAACAAUUACCUCACAUAUUGUGAAUUCUUGUAGAGAUUUAUUUAUUUAUUUUAAUUUCCUGGUUAAUUUUGAAGUAAUCUGGAG